rnacentral:rRNA from 1 species
UUCCUGUACCGAUAUUUAAUUGCCGAAGGAAGGACGCAGAAGGAUAACACAGGCCACUAUUGGAUGUGGUUUUAAACAGUUAGUCUUCAUAAGAGUCAAAUGCUUUUAUGUUUAAGGAUAAGCUGUGAAUGUACCAAGUUUACUUGGAAAUUGUGUGAUUUCACGCUGCUGAAAAAAGUUUCGUAGGAAGAAAAUAUUGCCCGUACCGCAAACCGACACAGGUACUCAAGUGGAGAACACUAAGGUGAGCGAGUGAACUAUUGUUAAGGAACUCUGCAAAAUGAGUCCGUAACUUCGGAAGAAGGACUGCUGGUUUUAUACCAGCCGCAGCAAAUAGGCCCAAACAACUGUUUAUCAAAAACACAGGUUUCUGCAAAAUCGUAAGAUGAAGUAUAGGGGCUGACGCCUGCCCAGUGC